UGACCUCAAAUCAGGUAGGACUACCCGCUGAACUUAAGCAUAUCAAUAAGCGGAGGAAAAGAAACUAACAAGGAUUCCCCUAGUAACUGCGAGUGAAGCGGGAAAAGCUCAAAUUUAAAAUCUGGCGGUCUUAUGGCUGUCCGAGUUGUAAUCUAGAGAAGUGUUAUCCGCGCUGGACCGUGUACAAGUCUCCUGGAAUGGAGCAUCAUAGAGGGUGAGAAUCCCGUCUUUGACAUGGACUGCCAGGGCUUUGUGAUGCGCUCUCAAAGAGUCGAGUUGUUUGGGAAUGCAGCUCAAAAUGGGUGGUAAAUUCCAUCUAAAGCUAAAUAUUGGCGAGAGACCGAUAGCGAACAAGUACCGUGAGGGAAAGAUGAAAAGAACUUUGGAAAGAGAGUUAAACAGUACGUGAAAUUGCUGAAAGGGAAACGCUUGAAGUCAGUCGCGUCAUCCAGGGAUCAACCUUGCUUUUGCUUGGUGCACUUCCUGGUUUGAUGGGUCAGCAUCAAUUUUGACUAUUGGAAAAAGGCUGAGGGAAUGUGGCAUCUUCGGAUGUGUUAUAGCCCUUGGUCGCAUACAAUGGUUGGGAUUGAGGAACUCAGCACGCCGCAAGGCCGGGUUUAAACCACGUACGUGCUUAGGAUGC
rnacentral:rRNA from 1 species